rnacentral:lncRNA from 1 species
GUCUCAGAGUGGAUAUGGCAACAGCUACACAUGACCUCACCAGCAUGGCAGUCUCAGGUUACUGGUACUUCUUAGGUCUCAGCUGAGGACUCCAGUGCAGGUGUUGCAAGACAGCAGACGUAGCACUGCUUAUGUGUAUCCUGAAGUCCCAUGUGUAUCCUGAAGUCCCAGAAAGCUGCUUCAAGUAGAUUCCAGUGGAGAAGGGAGUCACCAAGGCUGGACAGUCAUUUAUCCAUGGCAGGACUAGCAAAAAAAUCUGCACCAUCUCUCAUCGCACACACGUGGAUCUCAGAAGGCGACAUGAAGG